rnacentral:rRNA from 1 species
AUUGAACGCUGGCGGCAGGCCUAACACAUGCAAGUCGAACGAGUGGCAGACGGGUGAGUAAUGUCUGGGAAACUGCCUGAUGGAGGGGGAUAACUACUGGAAACGGUAGCUAAUACCGCAUACCAUCGGAUGUGCCCCGAUGGGAUUAGCUAGAAGGUGGGGUAAAGGCUCACCUAGGCGACGAUCCCUAGCGGGUCUGAGCGGAUUACCGGCCACACUGGAACUGAGACACGGUCCAGACCCCUACGGGAGGCAGCAGUGGGUAGUAUUGCACAAUGGGCGAAAGCCUGAUGCAGCCAGGCCGCGUGUAUGAAGAAGGCCGUCGGGUUGUAAAGUACUUUCAGCGGGGAGGCGUUACCCGCAGAAGAAGCACCGGCUAACUCCGUGCCAGCAGCCGCGGUAAUAC